UACGUAGGUCGCAAGCGUUGUCCGGAUUUACUGGGCGUAAAGAGCGCGCAGGCGGCUGGUCAAGUCCGAUGUGAAAUCUCCCGGCUCAACUGGGAAACUGCAUCGGAAACUGAUCGGCUUGAAGAUGGGAGAGGGUAGUGGAAUUCCCGGUGUAGUGGUGAAAUGCGUAGAUAUCGGGAGGAACACCAGUGGCGAAGGCGACUACCUGGCCCAUUCUUGACGCUGAGGAGCGAAAGCGUGGGGAGCGAACAGG
rnacentral:rRNA from 1 species